rnacentral:rRNA from 1 species
UGGCUCAGGAUGAACGCUAGCUACAGGCUUAACACAUGCAAGUCGAGGGGCAGCAUUUCAGUUUGCUUGCAAACUGGAGAUGGCGACCGGCGCACGGGUGAGUAACACGUAUCCAACCUGCCGAUAACUCGGGGAUAGCCUUUCGAAAGAAAGAUUAAUACCCGAUGGUAUAAUUAGACCGCAUGGUCUUGUUAUUAAAGAAUUUCGGUUAUCGAUGGGGAUGCGUUCCAUUAGGCAGUUGGCGGGGUAACGGCCCACCUAGUCUUCGAUGGAUAGGGGUUCUGAGAGGAAGGUCCCCCACAUUGGAACUGAGACACGGUCCAAACUCCUACGGGAGGCAGCAGUGAGGAAUAUUGGUCAAUGGGCGAGAGCCUGAACCAGCCAAGUAGCGUGAAGGAUGACUGCCCUAUGGGUUGUAAACUUCUUUUAUAAAGGAAUAAAGUCGGGUAUGCAUACCCGUUUGCAUGUACUUUAUGAAUAAGGAUCGGCUAACUCCGUGCCAGCAGCCGCGGUAAUACGGAGGAUCCGAGCGGUAUCCG